GCAGUCGUGGCCGAGUGGUUAGGGCGAUAGACUAGAAAUCUAUUGGGCUCUGCCCGCGCGGUUCGAAUCCUGCCUAUUGCG
rnacentral:tRNA from 1 species